GUCCCUUUAGGCUGGCCCUCGGGCCGCCAGGUGGGCCGGAUGCGUCACCUGGGGCAUCCUUUCCGGCUGCCCCGCUCUGGGGCCGCCUCCCGGGACUCGCCGGGCGCGGGCUCGGGGCGCCGCCGGCAGAGCCCGCGAGCUCGUCACUUCCCUUGCAUCCCCGGGCCACGGUUCCCAGGCGGGGCGGAAGUCCUCCUCCGCCCUGCACCGGAGCCGGCCCUUCCCGCAGGCUCUCGUCCCGGCUUAUCGGGGUCAUCGGUGGCCCGGGGCCCGCCGGCGCGGAGCGUCCCUGGAAAGCUCCGAGGCACGUGGCGAAGGAGUGUUGUGAAGCGCUUAGGUGCUGGGUGCGGAGGUGGGAGAAAGGGCCGACGACGCUCCACACCCCGCUGCGGGCUCGGCCGCUCCCAGCCGGCGGGGAAAUCCCCGUCUAGAAAACGAAAUGGACAAAACUUCUUCAUGAGGAACAUCUGGACCCUUACCCCUUCCACGGUGUUCUAGGCACCGCAGAGCCUUCCAGUGGGUAACCGACAAACCGAACGCUCCCUCCACGUGGCGGCCCAUCCUCCAAGCUCAAACUCUGGCAAAAAAGCAAGCAGUGCCUGCAUAAAC
rnacentral:lncRNA from 1 species